rnacentral:rRNA from 1 species
CUACGGGUUGCUCCAGUGAGGAAUAUUGCACAAUGGGGGGAACCCUGAUGCAGCAACGCCGCGUGGAGGAUGACGCAUUUCGGUGUGUAAACUCCUUUUAUAUGUCAAGAAAAUGACGGUAGCAUAUGAUUAAGCACCGGCUAACUCCGUGGCCAGCAGCCGCGGUAAUACGGAGAGUGCAAGCGUUACUCGGAAUCACUGGGCGUAAAGGACGCGUAGGCGGGUUGGAAAGUCAGGUGUGAAAUCCUACAGCUUAACUGUAGAACUGCACUUGAAACUUCUAAUCUAGAGUAUGGGAGGGGGAGAUGGAAUUAGUGGUGUAGGGGUAAAAUCCGUAGAUAUCACUAGGAAUACCUAAAGCGAAGGCGAUCUCCUGGAACAUUACUGACGCUAAGGCGUGAAAGCGUGGGGAGCAAACAGGAUUAGAUACCCGUGUAGUC